CUUUCAAUCUUUGUUUUUACACACAAUAUCAUAGAACUCCCUCGGUCAAUUUCCUCUUCAUCACCAACACACUCAACCUUCACUGGCCCUUUUCUCUUUUUCCUGCGCCACACACAAUCUCAGCAACCUCAAGUCCUCUCUCACUCUCCCAUUCAUCCUCUCCCUUUGGCCAUAAACCCAUUCUUCCUCCUCCCAGCUCCCCAUCGAACUCACCCUCCUCUACCUCCACCGAAACUCUGUUCUUUUUCGGCUCUAGCUCACAGAACAACAACAAUCCACCUUCAAACCCCAGCUGGACUCCCUCUGUUCAUUUAUUCGGAAAGUGCUCUGCACUUCUCCAUACUCAGUGGCUACCAAGUAUCACUCAACAUCCUCCUUUUGUUCAACCGUCACAGUUUGCUCAACAUCCUUCAACAUCAGUCCCGCAGCUCUGAGUUAUCGCCUCACAACCUUCUUCUCUCUGCAACAAAUUUCCAUAACAACCACAGUCAACAACUUUCACUUUACAAUCUGUUAGCAACUCAACUUUCCGAUUCAACAACAGCAAACCAGCCGCGAGUUACUGUUCCAGCAACUCCGCUCUGUCUCAGUAUCGCUAUUUCCAGCAACUCUGCUCGGUCUUAG